rnacentral:rRNA from 1 species
UAGGGAAUCUUCCGCAAUGGGCGAAAGCCUGACGGAGCAACGCCGCGUGAGUGAAGAAGGAUUUCGGUUCGUAAAGCUCUGUUGUUAGGGAAGAAUGAUUGUGUAGUAACUAUACACAGUAGAGACGGUACCUAACCAGAAAGCCACGGCUAACUACGUGCCAGCAGCCGCGGUAAUACGUAGGUGGCAAGCGUUGUCCGGAAUUAUUGGGCGUAAAGCGCGCGCAGGUGGUUUAAUAAGUCUGAUGUGAAAGCCCACGGCUCAACCGUGGAGGGUCAUUGGAAACUGUUAAACUUGAGUGCAGGAGAGAAAAGUGGAAUUCCUAGUGUAGCGGUGAAAUGCGUAGAGAUUAGGAGGAACACCAGUGGCGAAGGCGGCUUUUUGGCCUGUAACUGACACUGAGGCGCGAAAGCGUGGGGAGCAAACAGGAUUAGAUACCCUGGUAGUCCACGCCGUAAACGAUGAGUGCUAAGUGUUGGUCUCAUAAGAGAUCAGUGCUGCAGCUAACGCAUUAAGCACUCCGCCUGGGGAGUACGACCGCNNGGUU